rnacentral:rRNA from 1 species
GAUGAACGCUGGCGGCGUGCCUAAUACAUGCAAGUCGAGCGAACAGAUGAGGAGCUUGCUCCUCUGACGUUAGCGGCGGACGGGUGAGUAACACGUGGAUAACCUACCUAUAAGACUGGGAUAACUUCGGGAAACCGGAGCUAAUACCGGAUAAUAUAUUUAACCGCAUGGUUCAAUAGUGAAAGACGGUUUUGCUGUCACUUAUAGAUGGAUCCGCGCCGCAUUAGCUAGUUGGUAAGGUAACGGCUUACCAAGGCAACGAUGCGUAGCCGACCUGAGAGGGUGAUCGGCCACACUGGAACUGAGAAACGGUACAGACUCCGACGGGAGGCAGCAGUAGGGAAUCUUACGCAAUGGGCGAAAGCCUGACGGAGCAACGCCGCGUGAGUGAUGAAGGUCUUCGGAUCGUAAAACUCUGUUAUUAGGGAAGAACAAAUGUGUAAGUAACUAUGCACGUCUUGACGGUACCUAAUCAGAAAGCCACGGCUAACUACGUG